UUUGUAUUACGAGCGGAAAUUGUUACCAUUUUCGGCUCAAAAAUGGUAACAAUUCCGCGCGUAAUACAAA
rnacentral:miRNA from 1 species